UACCCGGACGUCUGUCCCCGCCCUGUGUCGCGCACAGCCAAUAGACAUCGCCGCUCGGCUUGAACCCGCUUCCGCACGCCCCGCGUACGCAAUCGCGCGUGCGCGCUGUCAGCAAGCCGGAAGUUGGUCUUAGACGGUGGCCCCGUGGGGACAAGCGUCGUGCGCGCUCACCACAACCUAGUUUUGAUUCAGUAGUCAAUAGGCCCUCAAAUGUAAAGCACAGGGUCAGGAGUUGUGAGGCUGCGCACUGCACUAGGACGAUUAAAAAAAAAAAAAAAAUGGGUGGAGGGAAGUGGGAUAAAGAUGAAUCCUCCCUUGGAAGGCUGAUUUAGUGACUAAAAUUGGAAUGGCGCAUCUGGCGUGGGGAACAGCUGGUGCGAACCAAAGGAAGCGGGAAACGCGUCUCUUGAGGAAUGGGAGUAGCCACUGGACUGUGACGCUGGAAAGCACGUUGCUUGCUGGAAACCUGCCUAUUUCCCUCCCCUGAGCAAUUCGAUCCACUCACACAACCACCAGCCAUUUGCUCUGCUUUGCCAGGCCCAGGAGAGUGAAGAGACAAACCAGGAGCACCAGGAGCAGCAGGAGGACAUAGGCCAGCCACCUGCAGGAAGAAGGAGCAAGACAGUGAGUCUCUGGAGGCUAUCAGCACCCUAGAACCGCCCCAGUCUGCUCCUGUGGCCUCCUCGCUGCCUGGUGAAACGGUACAUGGUCUCACAAGCCUCUGGAGUGCUCUGCAGCAUAGGUGUGGGACUGAAGCACCUGGUAACUACCCUGACCAGUUCACAUACAAGUUCUGUGGUUGUGGACACAGUUGUCGGCCUCUGAAUAGGAUUCCCCAACUCAGCACUGUAGGCUGUCAGUCACCUGUGACCUAAUGGAAUAUCUCAGAGGUAUUGUGCAUAGGUCUCAACUACCCAAUUCCAUGUAACUUGUUUCCCUACCAGUAACAGGAGGGCAUAAUAGGAUCAACCUCAAAAUCUGUUGUGAAGUAAAUGAAUGGGCUUGUGGAUGUAGUUAAUGUUAUAAAUCACUAUCCAGGGAGAUUUGAAUGCUAAUAAUACUUAGUUAAGUAAGUAAUGCACCAGAACUGCAGGGGAGGAUGCUUGGAAGGUCCCAGGUUCAGUGCUUGGCACACUGAAAAUGCUCAGUGGCAGUGGCAGUGUCAGCAGUUCCCAUGGAGCCGUGGUUUGUACCCUGAGUCCUUGUCCCUGACCACAUGGCCAGGCUCACCUCCGUGGCCCUGACUGAUACAUUUGCUUAGAGCAUCUUCCUAGAAUCAUGUUCACAGCUGCCACUACCUCCUUGACCAAGCUCCGGGGAUCCUAGUAACCAUGACAGAGGACCUUCCUGCCUGCCACUGACUUGAUGCCCCACCCUGUAUCUGCAGCAGGGAUUGUUUCAGCCCCAGUGUGCUUGUACCAAGGAGCAUGGCCUCCUACUUGGGAAUAGGAAAGUCAGGAGUAUCGGCUCAAAGCAAGCAGGAAGGAAAUAACUUUAAGUAGGUGAAGACUGGUUGUGUUGGCUGCCUCAGAGGACGGCACAGCUUGCCUUGUCCCCUCAAGUACCACGCUUUAGUAUGACCCUUCCCCUGACACAUGCUGCCUGCCUGUCCCCAGACAAGCCCCUUCCUAUUUAAUUUGCUCCAAAGCAUUCAUUACUCACCUUACAGAAAAUGUGUUUGCUUUUUAAAAAUAUUUUUGUUUUAUAUGUACAAGUGUUUUGCUUACAUGUAUGUAUGUAGUCUACCAAAUGCACCUGGUGUCUGCAGAGGUGAGAAGAAAGUCUUGGAUCCCACAGAACUGGAGUUACAGAUAGUUGUGAGCCACCAUAUGAAUGCUGGGAACUGAACCUAGGUUCUCUACAAGCAAAGCACAGUAAGUGCUCUUACCCACUGAUUUAUUUCUACAGGCCUCCCCUCUCCCUUUGGAUGCUAGUAUGAACAUAGAGCCUCACGCAGGCUAGGUAGGCAACUCUCUCCCUGAGUCAUAUUCCCAGCUCUUCAGUAGUAGAUUCUAGGUAAGUGAGCCACACCCCCAACCCUUCCCUGGGGGAUUCUAGGCAGAUGUUUUACCACAGAGUCACACUUUCAGUCCUUUAUCAGCAGAGUCUAGGCAAAUAUUCUUCCAUUAUCACAUCCUCAGCCUUUUUACUUCUUAUUUGGAGACAAUGUCUCACUAAGCUAUUCAUACUGGCCUUGAAAUCUGUAGCCCAAACAGGGCUCGAGUUUUCAAUCCUUUUAUUGAGUCUCUGGAGCAGUUGAGAUUACAGGCCUAUAUCCCCAGGCCUGGCUUCGUGGACCUAUUUUAUAUUGCUCUCCCAGCUGAGAAAAGUCCCUCCUGUGUAGAAUUUCCUGUGUUAUCCCUAUUGCUUGGCAUAUCUAUAUUUUACUGGCAUUGUCUCAUCUGUCAUUGUGUGUUCUAUGUUUCAGACACUCAGAGUUAUUAACUAACUCUCCACAAUCCAUUUUGAGCUAUGCAUGACAGGACUCACUUUAAAGUGGGAAAACUAAGACCCAGGGAUGGAAAGAAACUUGUUUAAGGACCUACAAAUACGGAGUGGCCUCCUGAAGCUGAGGUUCCCAAUCACGUGCGUGUUGUCUCUCACCAGAUGUUAAAUAAAGUAGUUGCAUGAUGAA